GGCGGGGGUGUUCCUACCGGGGCAUAGGCGCUGGUCAGGGGUUGCUGCUCGCGCGGACUGUAAAUCCGCCGGCUCAGCCUUCCCAGGUUCGAAUCCUGGCGCUGCCA
rnacentral:tRNA from 1 species